GACGGAGGAUGCAAGUGUUAUCCGGAAUCACUGGGCGUAAAGCGUCUGUAGGUGGUUAAAUAAGUCAACUGUUAAAUCUUGAGGCUUAACCUCAAAAUCGCAGUCGAAACUAUUAGACUAGAGUAUAGUAGGGGUAAAGGGAAUUUCCAGUGGAGCGGUGAAAUGCGUAGAGAUUGGAAAGAACACCAAUGGCGAAGGCACUUUACUGGGCUAUUACUAACACUCAGAGACGAAAGCUAGGGUAGCAAAUGGG
rnacentral:rRNA from 1 species